GACGAACGCUGGCGGCGUGCUUAACACAUGCAAGUCGAACGGAAAGGCCCUGCUUUUGUGGGGUGCUCGAGUGGCGAACGGGUGAGUAACACGUGAGUAACCUGCCCUUGACUUUGGGAUAACUUCAGGAAACUGGGGCUAAUACCGGAUAGGAGCUCCUGCUGCAUGGUGGGGGUUGGAAAGUUUCGGCGGUUGGGGAUGGACUCGCGGCUUAUCAGCUUGUUGGUGGGGUAGUGGCUUACCAAGGCUUUGACGGGUAGCCGGCCUGAGAGGGUGACCGGCCACAUUGGGACUGAGAUACGGCCCAGACUCCUACGGGAGGCAGCAGUGGGGAAUAGUGCACAAUGGGCGGAAGCCUGAUGCAGCAACGCCGCGUGCGGGAUGACGGCCUUCGGGUUGUAAACCGCUUUGGCCUGUGACGAAGCGUGAGUGACGGUAAUGGGUAAAGAAGCACCGGCUAACUACGUG
rnacentral:rRNA from 1 species